rnacentral:lncRNA from 1 species
CCAUCAUGACUUUCUCAAGGAUAUGCCUUUCUGUAUUCCCCACACAGCACAGGUGCCCAAGAAGCGCUUGUUGCACUGAAUCGGUGAGCCCUGCCAUCUCCCAUACUGACCAGCUGUGGGCACAAAGGCAGCCACCCCAAAGUUAUUAAUAUAGAAAAAUCCUGGGGUACAUUUAGGACUGAGGAGAAGGUACUUCUCUUAGAGUAUUGCACAGCAAGAAACCUCUCCCACACAUCUGAUUGGCAACAAAGACACCACUGCAGUUGAGUGAGGCACUAAUGCUCGCAGCUACAUUUAUAAAAGGCCAAAAGUAGAAACUCCUUAAAUGCCCAUCAAUAGCAGAAAGGAUAACACAGGCAAUAGAUGGUUACAAUGGUGAUCAGCUACUCAGGAGGCUGAGGCAGAAGAAUGGCGUGAACCCGGAAGGCGGAGCUUGCAGUAAGCCGAGAUCGUGACACUGCACUCCAGCCUGGGUGACAGAGCGAGACUCCAUCGCAAAAAAAAAAAAAAAAAAAAAAAAAAAAGAAAGAAACUCAGCUCUAUAAAUAAACCUUUAUUGUUACUGUUGUAGUUGUUGUGGCUGUUUGAUUGAUCUACCAUGUGUAUGCAUUGGAAAAGGAGGACGGCCUUUCCUGUGUCAGCUCAGCUUGCGGCACUGACCUGAAAUCACUGAUUAACUCUCAGCACCCACUGUUAUCAACAGCGAGCAAAAUCCCUGGGGAUGGAACACACGGAAUGACUAAUCCUUGAUUACAAUAAGGGGAGUAGGAAAGGUUGGGACAAGAAUGCCUAAUUAAUAUAAUGGGUUUAACCAACAGGAUUUAAAAUUUUAGGUGAUAAAAUUUCAAGUCCAUUGGCUACCUCUCUAGCCUUUUGCUGACAUUUCCAUUCAACAUGAUUCAAAAACAUGCACUGAGUGCAUAAUUUGUGUGCAAUAUCUGUUGUGGCUCUAAAAAUAAACCAAAUGAGCUGAGGAGGUACCUAAUACCUAUGAGUGAUAAGGUAGU